CUCUGCACGAUUCAGAAUUAAGACAACCUUAGCAGGAGAGCCCCAGCAGUAACUUUCUCUCAAGCAGAUGAACAAUAAGUUGCUUUGUAUGAACACCACCCUAACAAUCAAGUUUUCUACAGUAGUCUGUUAACAGUAGACCAAAGGUAUGAUGAUCAAUUUUAAAUGCAAUAUGGUUGAAAGGUCAGUAAACAAACAACAAAAAGGUAAUUUCUUAAUAGAAUGUCUGUACAUUUUUUGCUUUUGUUACAUAUUUCAUACAUCAAAAUCCUUAAACGUUAAUAAUUAUGUAUUCCAACUUGUUGCAGCUUGACAAAAAUGUAGCUUGAAGGAGAAGGGACAGCUGAGAAACAAAGUCCUGGUACGCAGACGACAAUACUAUAACACUGACAAGAGUAUAAUGAUGAUGGAGACGGAGACACAAGCCAGAGAAAGGGUGGACCAAACACCAGGCCAGAAUUCUGCAUGAGUCAGAUCCAGUGGGUGCAGAUCAUCAUACAGAUGUUUCAAGUGUGGAUCCACCUAAUAUUCAAGGUUUUCUGUCCUGGGACACUCGGCUAACCAUCAAGAAAGAACACACUCCAGUGGGCAUCCUUUAUCCAUCCAGACCCUCAUACAGAUGGUUGGAGUUUUGAUUCACCUAAAGUACCAUGCAAGAGCACUCAUUUUCCCUCUUGAGACCAUGGUGUGACCUGCAAGGUCGAAUGGAGACUGUAAACGAGACAAUCUUGGAGUCACCUGCAUUCACUGGUCCAGUUAGUCCAAUUACAGAUGGAGAUUAUAGAAGAGGAUGAUGUCUUUUCUCCAACAUCUUUCUAGACUGAUAAAAGAUCUAGAAAGGCUUGAAC